rnacentral:lncRNA from 1 species
AAACAAAAAAAAACUUUUGAAAAACUUUAUAGGUAAAGAAAAGAAGUAAAGGAAAAAAGCAAUUUCAUUAGGGAUGGUCGUUGACUUGUAUAGAGUUUAAGAAUUUAACUCGGAAGUAUAUAGAUACAAAUUGGCAAUUUGCAACGUAUAAAUAAAAAUACAAUAUAUCGAUAAUAAAACAUUAUUGCACAAAAAGUAGGGUCUUUCAAACAUACUAAUUUGUGUAAAUAGAAACAAAAAUAAACAAC